GGACGAACGCUGGCGGCGUGCCUAACACAUGCAAGUCGAGCGAUGAAACCCUUCGGGGUGGAUUAGCGGCGGACGGGUGAGUAACACGUGGGUAACCUGCCUCAAAGAGGGGGAUAGCCUCCCGAAAGGGAGAUUAAUACCGCAUAACAUUAUUUCUUCGCAUGAAGAGAUAAUCAAAGGAGUAAUCCGCUUUGAGAUGGACCCGCGGCGCAUUAGCUAGUUGGUGAGGUAAUGGCUCACCAAGGCAACGAUGCGUAGCCGACCUGAGAGGGUGGUCGGCCACAUUGGAACUGAGAUACGGUCCAGACUCCUACGGGAGGCAGCAGUGGGGAAUAUUGCGCAAUGGGGGAAACCCUGACGCAGCAACGCCGCGUGGGUGAAGAAGGCCUUCGGGUUGUAAAGCUCUGUCUUCUGGGACGAUAAUGACGGUACCAGAGGAGGAAGCCACGGCUAACUACG
rnacentral:rRNA from 1 species